CAAUGGGCUCUGCAUCACCUGAACCGGGAAGAAAACAAGAGCACUAAGCAGAAAUUCCAAAGUCAAAAUCAUGCAUAGUGUUCAAUGCAGCAUUCAUCAGGCUUUUUACUAAGAAAAGCACACCUACUUACCACUCAAUGGAAAUCAUUUACUUUUUAUGUAGUAGUGUUUUUUUCAGUACUCAGUAACAAAAACUAAAAAAAAAUAUAUAAAAAUUGAGGGGUGAAUGAUAAUAUUAAGCAAUACAAUAUAGAAUCUGCCAAUGGAGUAAGGCAAAACCUCAAAAUUCUUGAAUUAAGACUAAAUUUUAUAUCGUACAAAAAAGAUGUGUUGCCUUUAAUUAAGAGGAUUCACCUGAUAUUUUUUUUGCAGUGCAUUCAAUUACUAUUGACAGCCAUGCAUGUACAGUCUUAUUAUUUAUCGUUUUACAAAUGUAUGCAAUAUUUUUUUUGCUGUGCCAGAUUCUUAGUACUUUUCCAGUGGUCAGGAAGUUCAGAGUCGUUUAUUGAAAGCAAUUGCUGUGGAUGAGUAAUGCUGAGGGGCAGAGAAGUUUUGCUCGCUGUUCUUGAGAGACACGAGACCAAAAACCAUCUGGAUGAAGUGCUAGUAACCCCUCACUAAUUUAUCCAGUACCAGAAGAUGGGCGAUGCUUGCAUAGAGAUGCUCAACAUGGUGUAAAAAUAUCCCAAUAAAACCACACUUUUAAAGGACUGGAGCAACACAGUGGAUUAGUGGUUGGCACAUUUGCCUCUCAGCGCUGGGGUCCUGGGUAUAAGUCCCUAUCUGGAUGGAGUUUCCAUGUUCUACCUGUGUCUGAGUGGGUUUUCUUCAGGGACUCCAGUGCGAAACAUGGGCAUCAGGACUCCCCUAUCACUAGUAAUGCCCCAACACACCAGGAGGGUAAAGACUAACACAUGCUUCCUCUGAUACAUGUGAAGUCAGCCACCGCUUCUUUUCGAGCUGCUGCUGAUGCAGCAUUGCCAAGCAGCCAGCGCGCUCGGAGGACAGCGCAGCAGCUCGGUUCCGAUACAUCAGCUCACAGACGCCCUGUGCUGUGGAAAUCACCGUAGGAUUGAUGUGGGGAGAGAGUGCCAUCUACCUACCCAGACGGUUUGAACUUGAGACCUCCCGCUUGUAGUGGCUGCGCUUUAGACCGCUGGACCACUCGGCGCCCCCUCUUUCGUAAUGUUAAGCAAUAAAAGAUGUUAAUGAGCAAUAUAAAGCUUUUUUCCCACUUUUAGCUUUGCCAAUUAUCCCACCCACUUAGGUGCUCAGCUGUACUACCCCAAUCACUAGUAAUGCCCCAACUCCAGGAGGGUGAAGACUAAAACAUUGCCGAGUAGCAUCAGAGCACACUGAGAGGAAAGCAAGAUCGACGUCAUCCUAUAGGAGUGAUGAGGGGAAAGAGUGCCAUCUGUGCUCUCUCGGGGCUCUGGCAGCUGAUGGUGAGCUGCAUGACUGGAAUUCAAACCAGCGAUCUCCCGAUCACAGUGGCAGUGCCAAAAUAAUGUAAUAAAAUUGAUUAAAAGUCUUAACUCUAGUGUUGUACUGUUUAGUAACAAAAAGAGCAAGUUUGAGGAGGAUGAACAUGGGUGACCUAACCGUUAUGUUCAACUGUAUAUUCAACUUUUGAACAGUGCAAGAGGAAGUUCACCCUUUAACACGUCUCGAACAUGCGUGAAACCCCUAUCACAGUGUCUGUAGAAGAUAAGCACUGUCAACCCAGCCAGCCACACUUGGGCCCUUGGUCAGUGGACCAUUGUCGUAACUGUGGUACGCUGUUGUGUGGCUGGUAGCGUGAUACGGACCUUCGCCACCAGCUCAUAGGAACGUCCGGUGAUAAACUCUGUGGUCUUUCAAACAAGGCAAGAAAAGGCAUUUUAUAGGUCUGGUGAUGUCCCUGAACUGCUACAGGCUCGUUUGGGGUUUCUUAUCGUACGGAGAGAUCAUUGUCCUUUCACUACAUGCCUCCAUCAAACAGUUCUAUGAACUGUAUGAACAUUUCACCUAAAGAACAGAGUGCAGAGGUGCUAGAUCAAGAGGAUGCGUCACAUUUGCAUACUAAUUACUAAUACUAACUUGUUUUUAAGUGUAAAGUGUGUAGUAUAGAUAGAAGCUUUAAAGUUGAGUGUAUAUUAAGUGCAUAUGAAAUAUACCCAAUAUGCAAAUGCAGGACCGGUCAGUUUUUGACUGUUAUUAAUAUGGACACUAUUACUCACAAUGCAAUGCUAAACGAAACAGGAGGAGCUAGUCACCUCUGGAACAUAUUAGAAAGAAUUGUGGACGACAGCAGCUGAAUAAACUUUUUUUUUGUAUUGUAGUAUUAGCAACAUACAGAUCACUAGCCAUCAAACCAAACUGAACUGCUUAAAUUUUUGCACCAGGAGUAAAGGCAUAAAUUAUCCAAAAGCAGUGUGUAAGACUGGUGGAGGACAACAUGCCAAGAUGCAUGAAAACUGUGAUUAAAAACCAGGGUUAUUCCAUUAAAUAUUUAUUUUUGAA